CCUACGGGAGGCAGCAGUGGGGAAUAUUGGACAAUGGGCGAAAGCCUGAUCCAGCAAUGCCGCGUGAGUGAUGAAGGCCUUAGGGUUGUAAAGCUCUUUUACCCGAGAUGAUAAUGACAGUAUCGGGAGAAUAAGCUCCGGCUAACUCCGUGCCAGCAGCCGCGGUAAUACGGAGGGAGCUAGCGUUGUUCGGAAUUACUGGGCGUAAAGCGCACGUAGGCGGCUUUUUAAGUCAGGGGUGAAAUCCCGGGGCUCAACCCCGGAACUGCCCUUGAAACUGGGAAGCUAGAAUCUUGGAGAGGCGAGUGGAAUUCCGAGUGUAGAGGUGAAAUUCGUAGAUAUUCGGAAGAACACCAGUGGCGAAGGCGACUCGCUGGACAAGUAUUGACGCUGAGGUGCGAAAGCGUGGGGAGCAAACAGGAUUAGAUACCCUAGUAGUCCACGCCGUAAACGAUGAUAACUAGCUGUCCGGGUUCAUGGAACUUGGGUGGCGCAGCUAACGCAUUAAGUUAUCCGCCUGGGGAGUACGGUCGCAAGAUUAAAACGUCAAAAGAAUUGACGGCUGAGACGUUGCGAGACGACGACGAGGGAGAGG
rnacentral:rRNA from 1 species